rnacentral:rRNA from 1 species
UACAGAGGGGGCAAGCGUUGUUCGGAAUUACUGGGCGUAAAGGGCGCGUAGGCGGCCUUCUAAGUCGAACGUGAAAUCCCCGGGCUCAACCCGGGAACUGCGUCCGAUACUGGAAGGCUUGAAUCCGGGAGAGGGAUGUGGAAUUCCAGGUGUAGCGGUGAAAUGCGUAGAUAUCUGGAGGAACACCGGUGGCUAAGGCGACAUCCUGGACCGGUAUUGACGCUGAGGCGCGAAAGCCAGGGGAGCAAACGGG